AGACAUAGCAUGAUGUGAAUUUGUGAUGCACUUUAACUUAGCAACUGCUCCUCAUGAGGAUUUACACAGCAUCUCAGCUCCUGCAUGCAUGCCUGUACAUUUUCAGGAAGACUGUAAUGUGUUUUUCACUGCAAAUGGAUUGCCUGGGAUAAAUACAUGACUCUUAUUUUGUAGGCACAGAAGUUCAAUAACAGUCUCUACAGAAUCUCUCCAUAAAAUAUGACAAUAAAUAACAGUUUAACCUCUAAUCUAUAUUAACAGGCUACCUUUAUUUAUUGUUUGAAGUCUGUAAAGAUAAAGACAGGUAAUCCAAAAGGAGCAGUCACAAUACGAGCUAAUGACCUUCUUUUACAAGAAUGUAGAUACCACUGGGCAAAAACCAUUUCAGCUUCAGCAUCAUGCAAAGUGCUAUUUUGCAAAGAAACACUGUGUGUUAGUUGUUGAAACUUUUUUGUGCAUUCCCCGAAACAAAUUACACUAUUCUGCAUAUUUUCUUUCCUGUGCAGUAAAUAAAGUCUUCCAUGUUGACAAUGCUAAUAUUAUAUUUUUAAAUAUACUUGCAUUUGUUUUUUUGUCAUUUUUUAUUGCAUUGUAUAAAUCCCAGAGCAGAGAUCCACUAAGCCCACUUUGAGAAAGCCCCGUUUCUUGGGAUAGCACCAUGCAGUGACACAGUCUUGUGGACUAUCAGUUCAAAUGAGUUCUUUCUAAACCUGCAACUACCAAUAUCAGGAGCUAUUUGCAGGCUGCAGUGAUUCAGUUACCUCUGUGCUGACCAAAGGGUCUCUGCCUAGGUGUCACCACCUAGAACCUCACAAGAAAUGCUGUUGAUACAACGGAAAAUGAAUCCAGCACCCUAAUUCUUAGCUGAAUCUUCUAAAAGCAAG